CUACGGGCUGCUCCAGUGAGGAAUAUUGCACAAUGGGGGGAACCCUGAUGCAGCAACGCCGCGUGGAGGAUGACGCAUUUCGGUGUGUAAGCUCCUUUUAUAUGUCAAGAAAAUGACGGUAGCAUAUGAAUAAGCACCGGCUAACUCCGUGCCAGCAGCCGCGGUAAUACGGAGGGUGCAAGCGUUACUCGGAAUCACUGGGCGUAAAGGACGCGUAGGCGGGUUGGAAAGUCAGGUGUGAAAUCCUACAGCUUAACUGUAGAACUGCACUUGAAGCUUCUAAUCUAGAGUAUGGGAGGGGGAGAUGGAAUUAGUGGUGUAGGGGUAAAAUCCGUAGAUAUCACUAGGAAUACCUAAAGCGAAGGCGAUCUCCUGGAACAUUACUGACGCUAAGGCGUGAAAGCGUGGGGAGCAAACAGGAUUAGAUACCCGAGUAGUC
rnacentral:rRNA from 1 species